rnacentral:lncRNA from 1 species
GCGGGUCAGCUCCGAGUGUUGGAGCUGAGCUGUGCACAGAGCGCUCAGACCCAUCUGCUGACUGUAAAAUGUACUGAUUUGAGGAAGAGUGCUUUUUCUAAAGGAGCCAGGUGAGGUUGUGCUGUCCAGUCAGGAGCAUUCGCCAUGUUCCUAGCAUACAGUGGAGGAGGGGAGAGAAAAGUUGGCAUUUCCCACCAUCCUCAGUGUGAUGCUUAGCGUCCUUGAGAAGCUCAUCUGGCCAGUAUGUAUCAGCUUGGGAAACACCUCACAGCCAUUCUGUGAGAUCAGGAUGAUGCUCAGAGAGCGUUUUACACUAGCCUAUGCCUUGUCUGUGAGCCUUUCUUCCUCCAGCUCCCCUUCAGUGUUUGCACCGCGGUAGGAAAUCAGUUUACUUGAAUACUUGAAUUUGUGACUAAAAAGGCUGUGUGUGACAAGAACAUUGGUUGUUAGAUGUGCCAUGAGGGGAGAAAUAGGUUUAAAUGACAUAUUAAAGAUUUAUUUAUUUUGUG